rnacentral:rRNA from 1 species
AGAGUUUGAUCCUGGCUCAGGAUGAACGCUGGCGGCGUGCUUAACACAUGCAAGUCGAACGAAGCACCUUGAUUCGAUUCUUCGGAUGAAGAUCCUGGUGACUGAGUGGCGGACGGGUGAGUAACGCGUGGGUAACCUGCCUCAUACAGGGGGAUAACAGUUAGAAAUGACUGCUAAUACCGCAUAAGACCACAGCACCGCAUGGUGCAGGGGUAAAAACUCCGGUGGUAUGAGAUGGACCCGCGUCUGAUUAGGUAGUUGGUGGGGUAACGGCCUACCAAGCCGACGAUCAGUAGCCGACCUGAGAGGGUGACCGGCCACAUUGGGACUGAGACACGGCCCAAACUCCUACGGGAGGCAGCAGUGGGGAAUAUUGCACAAUGGGGGAAACCCUGAUGCAGCGACGCCGCGUGAGCGAUGAAGUAUUUCGGUAUGUAAAGCUCUAUCAGCAGGGAAGAAAAUGACGGUACCUGACUAAGAAGCACCGGCUAAAUACGUGCCAGCAGCCGCGGUAAUACGUAUGGUGCAAGCGUUAUCCGGAUUUACUGGGUGUAAAGGGAGCGUAGACGGAGUGGCAAGUCUGAUGUGAAAACCCGGGGCUCAACCCCGGGACUGCAUUGGAAACUGUCAAUCUAGAGUACCGGAGAGGUAAGCGGAAUUCCUAGUGUAGCGGUGAAAUGCGUAGAUAUUAGGAGGAACACCAGUGGCGAAGGCGGCUUACUGGACGGUAACUGACGUUGAGGCUCGAAAGCGUGGGGAGCAAACAGGAUUAGAUACCCUGGUAGUCCACGCCGUAAACGAUGACUACUAGGUGUCGGGCAGCAAAGCUGUUCGGUGCCGCAGCAAACGCAAUAAGUAGUCCACCUGGGGAGUACGUUCGCAAGAAUGAAACUCAAAGGAAUUGACGGGGACCCGCACAAGCGGUGGAGCAUGU